CAACUUACGUAUAACCGUAUUUUUCAAUAUCAUAUAUUGCAAUUUCGCUUUGCUUGAAAGGAUUUUCUCUUGGAAGAACUGUUCACGAUAAACACUGUCAUGUGACUGUUCCAACAGUCCAUGUGCGCGGUAUUGUUUCAAUGCAUUUUAUUCUCAUUCAUGCAUGCUAGGAAAUCUCUGACACUAUUGAGUAUUUAAUAUUCGCCAUCCUUAAGCGUGAUCAACAGUCUUAGCACAUUUAGUGGAUUUUGUACAAUAAUCAGGUACGUCUAAUAUACUCUAAUGUAUAUCUAGCUAUAUAUUCAAUAGUUUAUUGCUUUUUGAGUACUGUAUGUCCACCGGCACAGGCGGCCCAAUCUCGCGAGGGUCAGUUUAGACUUAUAGUAUAAUGUAUAUUAUAUUAAAAAUAUGUCAUAAAAUAUAAAUUUUAAAAUGAAAUUGACUUGCCUAUUUCAUAGUGUGUGUUCUCCUUUUAUUCCUCUUUUGUUGGACUAAUAUUUUCCGAGACUUUGUACUCGACGGUACUAGUAUACAUAUAUACUACAAGUCUACAUGAUAAAGGCAAACUAUUUACAAUCGUCGAUGCGUCUGCACGCGGCACUUCGAAUCGAAAAAUCUCCCACUCAAAUCGCUUUAUUCUUUAAAAAAAUUCGCCAGCAUGUUGAGUGCAGAUGUCGUUAUAUUUUAUGACAUAUUUUUGUUAUAUUGAGAUUGGGCCGUUUACGUUUGUGGUAUGUUUGGCUAUCUGUAUGUUGCUGCUUUUACAGUAUAAGAAUAAAUCAUGACUUAAGACCCAGACACACCGGACGCGAUUCGACAACGCGACGCGAUUUUUUAGUUUUGAAAGUUAAUAAAACAGCCAAUGAGGGCAAAAUUUUGAAAGAUAUGUAGAACAAAUAACUCAAAAUGUUAUAGCGCUUCGAAAUAUUUGUAAAAUUUAAACUAGAAUCAAAGUUAUCGGUCAGUGAAAAUCGGCGAAAAAUCGCGUCGCGUUGUCGAAUCGCGUCCGGUGCAUGUAUGGAGCUUUAUUAUUAUUAUUUAAAAUUCUUUAUACACGGUAGCUUAUCAACCUAUUUCUACUAAAAAUAUAUAGAGUUUUCUGAUAGUGAUAAAGUUUCAAAUAAUUAAAAAGGUUGCUUUUCAUAAGGCCGCGUAGAAAUUUAAGCUAAGCAGUAGAACAACAAUUUACUAAAUUAUAGCUAGUAAAUACAGCAAAUCGUCCUUAGACCUGUGUAUUCACUAUGAAAUUCAUAUGGAACAAUUUAAACAAUUUGAAUCGUAUGGUGGAAUAACACCUCUGAGUCUGGGAGUUAGGCCGUUUCGUCUAGGGAUAUCAGAAAAGUCAAAUCUAAACAUAUCUCUUUUAGAAAGGAAGAUCGGAUUUCUGUCGAGGGGUGGCAAUUUCCCAGUUGCUUAUUUGCUCUUCGGCUCGCUUAUAGUUUUUCCACGCGUUCUCUAUAUUUGCAUUUCUGCAGGUAGUUAAGUGGUUUAAUUGAACACCUUUUCAAUCAAAGUUAAACAAUUGAACAUUUCUUGAAAUUUAUAUCGGGCUAAAGAUGUAUAUAUUCCGUUGUAUUUGUGAAUUGUCGAAGUUAACUGUUUAGCUAAAUACUUGCAAUUUCAAUUUGUUUAAGGUGUUCGUUGACGUUUAUUUUUGUAGUUUUCACCGUGGUAUUCAAAUAUAUCGUCUGUGAUUGACACUGCGUUCUGGCGAUUUCAAAAAGCAGGAAAAAAAUUAGGGAAGAAAAGGAAACUAUAAAGUAGCGAAGAGAUGAGCAUGCUCACUUGCAAGUGAGUGUUUUAAACUGUAUACCCUGAGGCUACCCAACGCAAUUGCACAUUUAUGUCAUGUUAAUUUCAAUUACAUUGUCCCCGAAAAACGCCAACACAAUAUAUUUUCUUAUAAAGAUACCCCGUUAAUAAAUUUUCUCGGCCCGCCUUUGGCCGUAUUUCACACUUUCACUGUGAACAUAUGUAAUUUAAUAUUUGACUUGUCACGUGCGUGUAAGAUAUGCACUGUAUAGUAAUUGUAAAUGCUUUUCAGUUCACACCUCGGUCGGGAUUUCGGACGAUUGAGGGUAGAAUGGGGUCUCAUUGGGAGAGGGGUUAAUACCAAGGGGGUUACUGUUUUUGCUGGCACGCAUGCAGCUGCAAGAUAUGAAAUGAUAUAAUAAGAGAUGAAAUUGUAAGUAUUUUGUAGUGAAUAGUCAGAAUAUUAAUUGGUGGGGUGGACGAUGCAUCUGAGUGUCACUAUAUUUACAUUCUUGUGUGCCAGAGGAUAUUACCUUCGGAAAGAGUGUAGGGGGAGGGGGCACUCUUGAGUGUUAACUCAACAAUCUGCCCAUGGUGUUUGGUGUGGGCAAGGUUCAGGUUAAUUUAUUGUUUAAAACAAUGUAAAAGUUACAGAUACGCAUGCGUAAUAUCGGGUCGGACGAUAACGAUCUGGUACGUUCCAUCCUUGUUCCCAGGGCUUCUUGGCUGCCUGCGUUCUUAUGGCAACGCAGGCAGCCGAGAAACCCUGGGAACGAGGAUGGAUACGUUCUUCACAGGCAUUCGGAUUCCAGUAGAACAAAUAUAUAUUGCAGGAACUACACACAUAUUGUUUCCCUUUGAAGUGGAAAACUAUUGAAGUGAUAAAAAUUACUGGAAAACAGCUUGGAAAAUCUUCUUCGAAGACUAACACGUGUUGUUGUAGCCGGCAGUUGCGAAAUUUAUGAGCAUGUAAAUUAUGAUGCAAAUUAUCAUUUGCGCAUGUGUAGAACUACGAUAAUCGCAUGUAUUUAGCAAGUCAGGAAUUUCGCGUGACACCGGGUUUAAUAACCCAGUUCAAUACUGAUAAAAUAGUUAAAGUUCCAGACAUUGUGCAUUACCUAUCUUUGUUUUGAAACUCUUGUGUGUAUUCAUGUCGUCCCCAGCCGCUGCUGAGCUGGCUCCUUGUUUCAGUUUAAAUUUGAAUUAACAGUCCGUAUUUUGACAAAAACUCCCACGAUUAACGUAGUAUUGUCCGUUUGAAGUUUUUCUGAUCGUUUUGGCAUGUUAUCUUGACAUUGGACCGGUUUCAAAAGUUUUGGAUUGGAUUCGGAUUGUCCACUGAAUCCGAUCUGAUACAUUGUCUUAAUGCCUUCGCAAGCGUUCUAAAUGAUAUAAAAUUAGCGGUGUGUCGAGCGGUGAGCAUUUAUAUUUUGCAGUAAUUCUAGUUAUAUUAUAUAAAUUAUAUGGUUUUCGAGCACUUGUAUGUAUCAGGACCCUCUAGCAUAGGUAAAUUGGGCAACCACACCCUGUGUAUAAACGACAUGAAUUAUUAUUUCCCAAUUUUUUUUUCAUGUUACGCAGUGUAGGCAGGCUGAAGACUUUGGAGAAGGGGACUAAAGUGCAAAACAUCAAAGGCACUAUAGUUCUUGCUCUUCAUUAGGUCAUGUUUCUUGGAAACAAUUUUAUCGGGCUUAUGUUAAGAUAUGGCCAGACAAGUGUACCAUCCACGGUUGUGGCAGAAAAACUUGCGGUGGAGCCCAUGUAAAGAUCGGACGGAAACAAGGGAUAUGGAUUAUACCCAUGUGUGCGAAACACAACAACCAUACCAAUACAAAGUGGAUGGGCGUUAACAAAGGCAUCACUGCAGUGUACGUUGAGAAGAAAGACACAAGUGGACCUGCCGGUGUUUGUUCUUAAUUUUACAAGGUCUAUAAUUGGUGUCUCAAAUUUCUUUCUAAACUCCACUCUAGUUCACUUACUUCGGUCGCAAUCUUCGGGGCUAAGCUAGUGCAAAUUAGUUUUGGCAAUUAUACAAGUAUGAGUAAAAAAUCAAAAUACCCUUAUAAAUCUACUAUUUUGUGGAGACAAAUGUUUGGCUGAAAAGACGGAGGAAUACGCAUUGAUUAUUAUAUAUUGAUCAUGAAAAAACAAAUACAUUAUUUACCGUCAAGGUCGGCCCGUACAUAUAUAUAUAUAUAUAUAUAU
rnacentral:lncRNA from 1 species